rnacentral:rRNA from 1 species
GUCCAUGUCCAUAGCACCCUGACCUAGCCCAAUCUUGUCUGAUCUUGGGAGCUAAGCAAGGUCAAGCCUGGUUGAUACUUGAAUGGGAGAUGAAUGUUUACAACAUAGGCC